AUUGAACGCUGGCGGCAGGCUUAACACAUGCAAGUCGAACGAGUGGCGGAGGGGUGAGUAAUGCGUGGGAAGCAGGCUUAUUGAGGGGGAUAACUACGGGAAACUGCAGCUAAUACCGGCUACCAUCGGAUGAGACCACGUGGGAUUAGUUAGUUGGUUAGGUAAAGGCUCACCAAGCCGACGAUCUCUAGCUGGGCUGAGAGGAUGACGUGCCACACUUGGACUGUGAAACGGCCCAGACGCCUACGGUCGGGAGCAGGGGGGAAUAUGGCGCAAUGGGUGCAACCUGCCGCAGCCAUGCCGCGUGAGUGAAGAAGGCCUUCGGGUUGUAAAGCACUUUCGGUAGCGAGGCGUUCACUACAGAAGAAGCCCCGGCUAACUCCGUGCUAGCAGCCGCGGUAAUAC
rnacentral:rRNA from 1 species